rnacentral:lncRNA from 1 species
UUUUUUUUUUUCUUUUUUAGGGCUCCAUAGCAUAUGGAGGGUUCCCAGGCCAGGGGUCGAAUCAGAGCUACAGCUGCCAGCCUACACCACAGCCACGGAAACGCCAGAUUGUAGCCGAGUCUGCAACCCGCAGCUCAUGGCAACUCCUUAACCCACUGAGUGAGACCGGGAUCGAACUGGCGUCCUCAUGGAUGCUAGUCGGGUUUGUUUCCACUAAGCCACAAUGGGAACUCCUGAUACAAUUCUUGACUACCAUUUCUUGGGACAUAAAAUAUUUUUGUAUUGUAAAAACUAUACAUCUGGUUUGAAUAGUCAUGGAAAUACGGGAUAAAAAAAUUUGAAAAUAAAAAUGUUGACUUGCUUUAGGGAAUAUUUAAGCCAAAUGAAGACAUGACCAACGACCUGUCAUUUUAAAAUCAUUUGCUUUUAGGGCAUUCUGCAAAUUCAUCCCCAGAGAUUUCAAAAAUGUCUCCCUAGAAACAGGUAGUAACGGGGGAAAAAUUACUUGAUUCUUCCCUUUUCUUCAUUUCUCAUAUGCUAUCAACUGCUGGCCAAUGCUACCUCCUAAACCUCUCUCUUAAUCCAUCCCGUCCUCUUUGGGUCUGUUUCAGGCUUUAGUCAUUUCCUAUCUAGUUUCCCGGCCUAGCUCCCCCAAAUCACCUUCAAUGCUGCUGCCAGAGUGAGUUAUACGAAAGACAAAUCUGCUCUUGUGCCCUGUUUAAAAUUCUUUACUGGCCCCCCAGUCCCUACAGGACAAAAACUCAGAUCCCUGCCAUAGAUCUCCAGGGCAUUCCUGCUUUCUGCCUUCCCUCCACCAACGCUGACCUGUUUGUAGUUCUUACCCCACAUGACGUCACUUCUCCCGCCAGAGCGUCCCUCCAGUUUUCCUCUCGGCCUGGCAGGCAGCUGGGCACAUCCUCUGAAGUUAUGUUUUGGCAUCCCUACCUCCCUGAAGUUCCCCGGCAUCUCUGGCUGCAUUUGUGCCUCUCUUCAGUGGUCCUAGGUUGCUACCUGCAUUUCUCGACUCAAGUCUUUACCAACACAGUGCUCGGGGGGCUAGAGGGAGGCUCUACACCUCCUUCUCCAGAGAACCAGAGGUCAGUGGUGGGAGUUCCCACUGUGGCUCAGUGGGCUAAGAAUCCCACUAGUAUCCAUGAGGAUUUGGGUGUCAUCCCUGGCCUGGCUCAGUGGGUUAGGGAUCUGGUGUUGCCACGAGAUAAGGUGUAGGUCGAAGACGUGGCUAAGAUCUUGCGUUGCUCUGGCUGUGACACAGGCGGGCAGAUCCAGCUCGGAUUGGACCCCUAGCAUGGGAACUUCCAUUUGCCAUGGGUGCGGCCCUAAAAAAUAAAUAAAUAAAUACAUACAUAGCAUUAAAAGAAAAAGAGGAGGUCAGUGACAGUUUAACUUAUCUCGAAAUCUCCAUGGCCUUAGGUUGCUGUCAUGUAAUAGGCAUUCAAUCACUUUUGUUUGUGUUUAUUUUAUUUUUUGUUUUGUUUUGUUUUUCUAGGGCCACACCCACGGCAUAUGGAGGUUUCCAGAUAUAAGUCAAAAAAUUAUUAUUGAAAAGUGGGACAGGGGAGUUUCCAUUGUGGUGCAGCAGAAAUGAAUCCAACUAGUAUCCACAAGGACACGAGUUCGAUCCCUGGCCCUGCUCAGUGGGUUGGGGAUCCGGCAUUGCUGUGAGCUAUGGUGUAGGUUACAGACUUGGCUCUGAUCUGGCAUUGCUGUGGGCUGUGGUGUAGGCUGGCAGCUGCAGCUCUGUUUCAACCCCUAGCUCAGGAACUUGUAGGUGCAGCUCUAAAAAGACAAAAAAAAAAAAAAAAAAAAAAAGGAGGACAGAGGAGUUCCCUCUGUGGUGCAGCAGGAUUGGCAGCAUCUCUGUAGCACCAGGAUGCAGGUUCAAUCCCUGGCCCAGCGCAAUGGGUUAAAGAUUUCAGCACUGCCCCAGCUGUAGCACAGGUUGCAACUGAGGCUUGGAUCUGAUCCCUGGCCCAGGAACUUCCAUCUGCCUCGGGUGGCCAAAAAAGAAAAAAAAAAAAGUGGGACAGAUAUAGAAGUUAAGUAUAUUUGGUUUGAGCAAGACACGAUCAUUUCUGUCCAAGGAUUAGCUUCCAAGGGCUGUUCUGCCUGGCCAUGUAAAAGAAGAAAAAUGCGCCCAAGCCUCCAUUCUAUAUUAUCUCCUUCAUCUGUGAUACAGAAAUCAUUAGCAUUAGGUAACAUGUCAAAUUUAGCUGACUAAAGAAAUUCACAAAAGUUGCAUCUUAACAAUCAUUCUUUAAUAUAUCAGACCCACUGGGGAAACUAAAAGCUUGGAAAAUGUAUAACUCAUUCCAAAUGACUAUCAUAAAAUGUAUAAAGUCAACGUCAUUUAUGUAACUGCUAACCACCUUAACAAGCAGCUCCAUUAAAUGUGACCUACAAACUUUGCAAAAUAAGAACCAACUGAUAACACAAUGAGAAGCUAAACAGCCUAAAUAGAGGGUGGAGCCAUUCUAGUUUUAAUG